UUUGCUGAUGAAAUUAUGAAAGCUGAAGCCAAACACCUAGAUUACCUUCCCAUCAUUUUAGGACAUUUCAAUCAAGCAAAUUUAAGGAAAGAGCUCCUAAAAUAUUUCCAGCAUGUCAAUUGUCCCACUCAGGGG